CUUUAUUAGGGUGUCGAGAGUGUUGCAACAUUGUGAAGUUUGGUUGCGUAAAAAUUGAAUCUUAAAUCAAAACAAACAGUUGCAAAAAAUUAAGAAGAUAGAUGUAUUUUUCUCAUUUAUUUCAUAUUAAAUAUUUUUAAUAAGCUUAAUUACCUCAAGAAUAAUUUUUGCGAGAAAAAGAAAGGGAGAAAAAAACCAUAGACAUAGGAAGAUGUAUUCCUAUGUAUGUGUUGUAUUCACAUGCAUUUGUUCAUAUUAUCAUAGAUCGUGGCAUCUCUUUAUGACUGAUCACGAUUCAAGUAUCAACAAAUGGCGAUAAUUAUCGCCAUGUGGCCCUCGCCAUGUGUUUGGCCAUCGUUAUGUACGUCGUCACCGGGGCAUUCAGUAUAAUCCAACAGUUUUUCUCGACGGUCAGCGUGUUCCUAUUAACUUUGCUAGGUAGAGCAAUUUUGUUAAUUGGUCACAUGACAGGAGAUAUUCCCAGAAGACGUCGAAUUGUCAAUGAAAGACAGGAAUCGUAUACCGAUUCAGAGGAAGAUCGCGUCACUAUGAAUAGAGCAUCCUUUAAGUCGAGGCAUUCCUUCGAACAAGAUCUGUCAUCGUAAAAACGAAUCGAUCCAAAAGACGUCUGUCUCUGUUUAAUACGUAUCAACAUCUCAAUCAGCGUUAUUUCAAGUAAUAUUACAUAAUUCAAAUUUGUAUGCCAGUAUGUGUAUAUGUGCGAUAUAAAUUCUUUUACUUAUCAUCAUUACAAUUAUAUUACUUCUAAUAUCGUAAAUAUUUUCUUCACAUACAGAUAUUGAUUGUAUGAAACAUUACGCAAGAAAUGGACCGAAAAUAUUGUGUAUAUCCAUAUUUCAAAAAUACAAGAAUAUAAAUUAUAUACUCUAAACAUGCAUUUUUUUUAAAUGUUGGUGCAAAAAUUUAACUGUCAACAUAGAAAAUUAUACUAAAUAAAUAAUUGCAAAAAUUUAAAAUUUUGAUGUAAUAACAUAAAAUUGCGAGAUAUUACAAAUAGUUAUGUUUAGAGUGCACCAUAAAAAAUUUAUAAUUAAUAUUUCAACUGCAUUUAUCGGUAAACUAUCGCUUGUCUUUUUCUUGAUUGAUAAUUUAUACAGAUCAAAAACAGUGUAUGUUUGGAUUAUUCAUUUUAGCCAUGAUGCCAAUCUUAAAACAAAUUUUAUACUCUUGUACUAAUUUGUGUUUUAUAUAAUAUUUUUCAAAUAUUAAUGUACAAAAAUAUAACUAACUUAAACUUACAAUAGAAAAUUAUGAAUUUUUAUUAAAUACAUUAAAUGAUUAAAGCCUUAUUCAUAUUCAUCAUUUUUUUGGCUUGCUUGGGUGAUAUUCAUUAAAAUAGCUGUAUAUAUUCUUAUAAUAUAUUCUUAAAAUGUAAAUAUAAUAUUAGUUUUUUAAUAUCAUGUGAACACUUUGGAUAAUAUAAAGUCUUAGCUAUGAGAAUAUAAAUGGACGGAGUACAUUAAUUAUGUCAUAAAAGAUAGAUAUAUAUAUAUAUAUAUAUAUAUAUAUAUAUAUAUAUAUAUAAUAUAAUAUAAAUCUAAUUCUUAUAUAUGGACGGAAUCAUAUAAUAUAUAAGUUCGAGAUUAUAUCUACUAGUAAAUAUCUCAUUGUGCUGUAGCAAGUAAAAAUCUAUAUAACUUAUUAUAUAUCAUUAUCAUAUUGAUUAAUUUGUUUCUUGUAAAACUUUAAAAAAAGCAAUAUAACCACAAAAAAAUUGCAUAUAAUUCUUUCAAAUUCUUUGUUAUCAACUAAUCUAUAUACAAAGUUGUUAGUGAUCUUUGUUAAUCGCAAUUAUUUUGUUUCAUUGUAUAUAUAUAAAAGCAACAAAAAGAAAAAAAAAAUAUAUAUAUAUAUA